AGUGCUCUGCACACAAUAGGGAAGAAAGAGAAGAAGAAUGAAAAGGAAAAGAAGAAAACAGAAUUGAAGGAGAUAAAGAAGAGGAAACCUUCUUCUCCUUGAAGAGAAGGAGGAUUGGGAAGAAUUCUGAAGGCACUGUUGACUAAAGUCUCCCAACAGAUUCAACCCAUGAAGACACCAGCAGCUAGUCUGCUGGAGGGACCCAGUCAGAUUGUAAUUGAGAGGUUGACGUGGCAGCAGAAGGAUGAUUGGUGUAAUGGGAGAACACUGGUCUGGAAGCUGGAGGAUGCUGGUUCAGGAUCCUGGGAUUUUUCCAGCGUCAAUUCACAAUCGCUGGAUGUGUGUAAGGUUUCUUCUUCUCCCAUCUGUAAGGUUUCUUCUCACCGAGGCGGGGUCCCAACUGCGAGUGUGGGGAUGAACUUGUGAUGGGACCUCUCAAUCUUGGGCCAAAGGAAAACAAGACUCUCAACAGAGCAAGAGGAGAAAGAGAGGCCAUUUUCGGUACAGGCCUCUGGCUGUGUGUUCCCAGCCUCAUUCUGAAUCUGACCGGAACAAAUUGAGAACACUCAGUAUUCUGAUAAGGCCAGCGAUCAGUGAAAAGCUGUGAAGGGUUGUAGCACACUCUAGGGGAUGAGGAUGUAUGUCUCACUUGGAACACGGCUUCCACCUCCUCUUUGUGGUUCAACUGGAUGAGGAUCUGCCACCCACCGGACACACGGUUCAUCCCCUCUGUCCGGUCAUUUCCCAGAACCAGACUUGGCUGUCAAAGAGUGGAAACGUCCGUGAUAAUUCCAAUUUAAUCAGUGCAUCAUUAACAAUCAAGAAAUGGAAACGGUGAUCUUAACCAGGAUAUUCACCAGUCUCUCUGGACUGCUUGAAUGACAUUAUGCUUUUUGGAAGCAGCAUAGAUAUAGAUUUUCUUUUUACAGGCUGUAAAAAAACAGCAAGAAAUUUAAGUUACACCCUCACCAGUACAAAGAGCAGUGUAAAUGAGAGAAGCUCUUUUAUUAUUUUCAAUCUGGAGGUUAUAAAAAUUGAUUUUGACAGUUCCAGUAAUCUAGUUGCAACCUUCAGCUAUCCAAGCAUUAAAAUGUGAUUCAUGUCACAAUAAAAUAUGAACACAGGUGUCUCUAGAAAUGGAGUAAACUUCAUCUUUGUGAUACAGAUCCUGAGGAAAAUUGAUGCAAUGCUACGACACUGUGGCCCGAGAUGCAUUUAUCAAUAUGUUGUAUCAUCUUCACCUAGUAAUCGCUACAAACAUUGAUAACGGGAGGUAUCGUUUACCUUGGUGGUGCACAGAAAACACCCUUUAGCAUUAAAUUUGGUUAUAUAUUUUCAUUCUUUUUUAUUUACAAAUUCCCAAAUCCAAAGUUCCUUAACUUUGUUUAAUCAUAAGAGCAACUAGAUAUCCCCCAAUUGAGACUUACAUUUAGGUGAGUUUGAAAUUGAUGCUGCUAUCAGAACUCAUUUUUUUCAAAAUCGUAUUCUUAUAAUUUGUUUCCUGGAUUUUUCCUUUGGAGAUCUCUGUGCCAAGAGUCUGUACCUUUAAAGUGUGUUAAAUGGCUCAUGGUUUCAUUGACAUGAAUGAAAGAUCCUUGAAGACCCCAGAAACAUUCCUUUCCGCGGCUCAAAUAUAAAGCAAGACUGACUGCAAUACAGGGGAGCACCAAAUUACAUAAGAUAAAGUAGAGAAAUGGGCCAUUAGCUGGCAAGUUUGAAGUAAUUUGGAUGAAGAUGGAUCUUAAGCUGGAUAGACGGAUACCGAUUAAAGCAGGAGAACCUACCUCAGUUCUGCUGACAAAACCCCUUUUCAUGUAAUCCCAGAUAUUUAUUCCACCUGAUGCUUGCUUCACAGGAUGUUCUCUGUUGUUCUUGUGAAGUCUGUUCUUUCUCACCUUGGGACUGUGGCAUCUGUUCUUCUUUCCUAAGCAAAUGGCCCAACGUGACCAUUAAACAUUAUCCUGCUUUUAC